UGUCCAAUGCGGGAAUCGAACCCGGGUCCUACUGGUCGAAAACCAAACGGUUUAACCAGCCUUCCACCAUAAUC
rnacentral:tRNA from 1 species